rnacentral:rRNA from 1 species
UAGGGAAUCUUCGGCAAUGGACGAAAGUCUGACCGAGCAACGCCGCGUGAGUGAAGAAGGCUUUCUGAUCGUAAAACUCUGUUGUUAGAGAAGAACAAGGACGUUAGUAACUGAACGUCCCCUGACGGUAUCUAACCAGAAAGCCACGGCUAACUACGUGCCAGCAGCCGCGGUAAUACGUAGGUGGCAAGCGUUGUCCGGAUUUAUUGGGCGUAAAGCGAGCGCAGGCGGUUUCUUAAGUCUGAUGUGAAAGCCCCCGGCUCAACCGGGGAGGGUCAUUGGAAACUGGGAGACUUGAGUGCAGAAGAGGGGAGUGGAAUUCCAUGUGUAGCGGUGAAAUGCGUAGAUAUAUGGAGGAACACCAGUGGCGAAGGCGGCUCUCUGGUCUGUGACUGACGCUGAGGCUCGAAAGCGUGGGGAGCAAACAGG